rnacentral:rRNA from 1 species
AUUGAACGCUGGCGGCAGGCCUAACACAUGCAAGUCGAGCGGAUGAAGGGAGCUUGCUCCUGGAUUCAGCGGCGGACGGGCGAGUAAUGCCUAGGAAUCUGCCUGGUAGUGGGGGAUAACGUCCGGAAACGGGCGCUAAUACCGCAUACGUCCUGAGGGAGAAAGUGGGGGAUCUUCGGACCUCACGCUAUCAGAUGAGCCUAGGUCGGAUUAGCUAGUUGGUGGGGUAAAGGCCUACCAAGGCGACGAUCCGUAACUGGUCUGAGAGGAUGAUCAGUCAGACUGGAACUGAGACAGGGUCCAGACUCCUACGGGAGGCAGCAGUGGGGAAUACUGGACAAUGGGCGAAAGACUGAUCUAGCCAUGCCGCGUGUGUGAAGAAGGUCUUCGGAUUGUAAAGCACUGUAAGUUGGGAGGAAGGGCAGUAAGUUAAUACCUUGCUGUUUUGACGUUACCAACAGAAUAAGCACCGGCUAACUUCGUG